CAAACAUAAGCAUUUUAAAUAUGGAGAAAGCAUCUCUGAAGUUAGUUUUUACUACGGCACUUCUUAUUGUUGCAAUAGAUCUUCUAUGUUCUAAAGUGGCAGCUCAAUCAGAAUGCACAAAAGAUGAAGAUUGUGCCCAUAUGAGUGUAUAUCAUUGCAGACCUUUUUGUGACGCUUUUGAAGUUUGUGACUGUAUUCCCUAUACCACUCAAGAUCAUGGCAAUACAGAUACAAAUGGCAGUCCAAAUUUAUCCCCCGUUUAAUUUUGGUUUUCCUUCAUAUUUUCCUUAUUUUUCUAAAUAGAGAAUUAAUCAUAAUCCACCCUGAUAUUUAUUGAAUUUUGUAUACAAGGGAUAGAGAGAUUUAUGGAUUGUUCUGGUUCAAUGCAAAAUCACCUUCCCUCAACAUUACGCAAAAUUUGUAAACAUAAAGUUUAGACAAACAAAAAAGAAGGAAAAUAAGAAACUUCUGUUUUGCAAA